UACGUAGGGGGCAAGCGUUGUCCGGAUUUAUUGGGCGUAAAGAGCUCGUAGGCGGUUUGGUAAGUCUGGUGUGAAAUCUCCACGCUCAACGUGGAGGGGCCACCCGAUACUGCCAUGACUGGAGUCCGGUAGAGGAGUGUGGAAUUCCCGGUGUAGCGGUGAAAUGCGCAGAUAUCGGGAGGAACACCGGUGGCGAAGGCGGUUCUCUGGGCCUGUGCUGACGCUGAGGAGCGAAAGCGUGGGGAGCGAACAGG
rnacentral:rRNA from 1 species